rnacentral:rRNA from 1 species
AGAGUUUGAUUCUGGCUCAGAACGAACGCUGGCGGCAGGCUUAACACAUGCAAGUCGAACGAUAUAGUGGCAGACGGGUGAGUAACGCGUGGGAACGUACCUUUCACUACGGAAUAGCUCUUGGAAACGAGUGGUAAUACCGUAUACGCCCUUCGGGGGAAAGAUUUAUCGGUGAAAGAUCGGCCCGCGUUAGAUUAGCUAGUUGGUAGGGUAAUGGCCUACCAAGGCGACGAUCUAUAGCUGGUCUGAGAGGAUGAUCAGCCACACUGGGACUGAGACACGGCCCAGACUCCUACGGGAGGCAGCAGUGGGGAAUCUUGCACAAUGGGCGAAAGCCUGAUGCAGCCAUGCCGCGUGAAUGAUGAAGGCCUUAGGGUUGUAAAAUUCUUUCGCUAGGGAUGAUAAUGACAGUACCUAGUAAAGAAGCCCCGGCUAACUUCGUGCCAGCAGCCGCGGUAAUACGAAGGGGGCUAGCGUUGUUCGGAAUUACUGGGCGUAAAGCGCACGUAGGCGGACUUUUAAGUCAGAUGUGAAAUCCCGGGGCUCAACCUCGGAACUGCAUUUGAAACUGGAAGUCUAGAGACCAGGAGAGGUUAGCGGAAUACCGAGUGUAGAGGUGAAAUUCGUAGAUAUUCGGUGGAACACCAGUGGCGAAGGCGGCUAACUGGACUGGUACUGACGCUGAGGUGCGAAAGUGUGGGGAGCAAACAGGAUUAGAUACCCUGGUAGUCCACACCGUAAACGAUGAGAGCUAGUUGUUGGCAGGCAUGCCUGUCGGUGACGCAGCUAACGCAUUAAGCUCUCCGCCUGGGGAGUACGGUCGCAAGAUUAAAACUCAAAGAAAUUGACGGGGGCCCGCACAAGCGGUGGAGCAUGUGGUUUAAUU